UACGUAGGGGGCAAGCGUUGUCCGGAAUUAUUGGGCGUAAAGAGCGCGUAGGCGGUCCGAUAAGUCGGCUGUGAAAGUCUAGGGCUCAACCCUGGAAAGCCGGCCGAUACUGUCGGACUAGAGUCCGGAAGAGGCGAGUGGAAUUCCCCGGUGUAGCGGUGAAAUGCGCAGAUAAUCCGGGGAGGAACACCAAUGGCGAAGGCGGCGCCUGGGCCAAUAUUGACGCUGA
rnacentral:rRNA from 1 species